rnacentral:rRNA from 1 species
UACGUAGGGUCCGAGCGUUGUCCGGAAUUACUGGGCGUAAAGAGCUCGUAGGUGGUUUGUCGCGUUGUUCGUGAAAACUCACAGCUCAACUGUGGGCGUGCGGGCGAUACGGGCAGACUAGAGUACUGCAGGGGAGACUGGAAUUCCUGGUGUAGCGGUGAAAUGCGCAGAUAUCAGGAGGAACACCGGUGGCGAAGGCGGAUCUCUGGGCCUUACCUGACGCUCAGGCGCGAAAGCUAGGGGAGCGAACAGG